GCAGCUCAAGAAAACUUAGAGCAGUUAAGAGAGAAUAAUAAUGCCUCAAUAAGAAGUCAGAUGGAACUCGGAAUUAGAGAUCUGGAAUCUGAACUCUCCAAAAUGACAUUUCUCAAGAAGAUUUUAAUAAAACAGAAUUGGAGAAGUAUAAGCAGCUCUAUCUAGAAGAAUUAAAAGUUAGAAAAUCAUUGGCAACUAAACUAAACAAGAAUAAUGAGAGGCUGUUAGAGAGCAGCACGGAACUUCUCCUGAAGAAACAGCAGAACAGGUCUUUACUCAGCGCUGUGACUGCGAGGCCGGUCCUGGAUCCACCUUGUGCCAGAAGAGCUGCUGCUGAAUUUGAGCCUGGACCCUGCAGAGCUUCUCCUCUGGGAUCUGCUGAUGAGUCAAAUCUAAAUCAAGAUCUAGUUUUGAAAACAUCACAAGAAUAUGUACAGAUUUUGAAGAAAAAUUAUAUGAUCUGAAAAAUAAAUAGCAAAAAUUUAUUUACUGGGCUGUUUACAUAAUAUUUUGUUUCUCAUUAAACAUAUGAUGUGCUAAUCUUAAGGGAAAAUAUUUUUGUGUCAUAUGUGUAUGAUAAUUAUUUAUACAGUAUUUUAAACUCUGUUUCUUGUCAUCUAACUAACUUUUAAGCAAAUUUUGGGAAGGAAAACCAGCACUAUUGAGUUUUACAUACUCAAACUGCCCACAUGCCAGCUGUUUGAACAACACUCAAACAACCAAGUUGUCAUUAACACUUUAAUGGUGUUAAUUGAUAGAUUUUUUUGUAUUUUCCAAUUUUUAUCACUAUAUAUAGACCUAAAGACAUCAUUUGAUAUACCGUUGCUGUGACUAUUGCUAGUGUUUGGAUGUGUCACAAUUGUUAUAGUGCCAUAAAACUUAUUAUAUAUAAUUUUAAUUUAAUUUAAAUUUGUUUAAAGAUUGGCACC